AAGGGGCCACGCUCGUGGCACCCGGACGAGGGAGCCGUACCCGGACAGCGACAAGACGGCCACGAA
rnacentral:ncRNA from 1 species